UACGUAGGGUGCAAGCGUUUGUCCGGAAUUAUUGGGCGUAAAGAGCUCGUAGGCGGUUCGUCGCGUCGGCUGUGAAAACCUGAGGCUCAACCUCAGGCCUGCAGUCGAUACGGGCGGACUUGAGUACUGCAGGGGAGACUGGAAUUCCUGGUGUAGCGGUGAAAUGCGCAGAUAUCAGGAGGAACACCGGUGGCGAAGGCGGGUCUCUGGGCAGUAACUGACGCUGAGGAGCGAAAGCGUGGGGAGC
rnacentral:rRNA from 1 species